ensembl:lncRNA
CCGGGUAGCCACGCAUCCUCAACGCGCAUGCUUUACCCGACGCGGACAGGUACUGCUCCUUCGCGUGCUCUGCGCUGUUUACGUACGAUGCCGUUCGGACGUUUAUAACGAAAACGACCAAACGAACAACAGUGUCGUUGUCGUAUCGCCUUUGGCCGUCGCGUUGAUAUGUUACGAGGCUGUUCGCUCCGUGAACAGCACCAGCUACACAGUGGUCUGUCUGCGUGGGGAGGGGUUUGAUGGUAACGGGACGUUUCACACACACCAGGGUGACCUACGGCGUGUAAAGGUGUUUCUGUUCACGCUGCUCUCGUUGAAACUAUCCUGGUAGGAAACCACAACAACAACAACAACCAUACGAGAGCCAGCCUCACGUGCACCAUGGGUGACUCCCAGGACAGUGACGAAGACCUUCUCUCACUCCCCGAUCCCGUGGUGUCCCCUCCUCGCACUCAAUGGUCAGUGCAGCUGUCCACCCUCCCACCCAAACUCCUGCACAGCCUAAUGUCCUUCCAGAAGGAAGGUGUGGAAUUCGCCUUGUCAAGGAAUGGAAGAUGUAUGAUCGCAGAUGAGGUAAGCCCAAAGAUAAUCCCUCCUUCCCGCCCCCCCGCAUCUAUACCUCCACCUCACCCAAAAUAAUUAAAUACAACAAUUUCAUGUCGAAACCAAACCUCGUCC